UACUAGAGUAGCACUCGCAUAUCAAUAAGCGGAGGAAAAGAAACUAACAAGGAUUCCCCUAGUAACGGCGAGUGAAGCGGGAAGAGCUCAAAUUUGAAAUCUUAAAGGGUUUCCCUUUACGAAUUGUAGUUUAAAGAAGUGUUUUCUGUUGAGGUUUUGGUAAAAGUUCUUUGGAAUAGGACAUCAUAGAGGGUGAGAAUCCCGUAUUUGACCUUUACUUUCAACUUUGUGAUACACUUUCAAAGAGUCGGAUUGUUUGGGAAUGCAGUCCAAAAUGGGUGGUAAAUUUCAUCUAAAGCUAAAUAUUGGCGAGAGACCGAUAGCGAACAAGUACCGUGAGGGAAAGAUGAAAAGAACUUUGAAAAGAGAGUUAAACAGUACGUGAAAUUGUCAAAAGGGAAGCGUUUGACACCAGUGUUGUUUUUCUGAAAAUCAAUUAAAGAACUGUUUAUGCUAAGUUGUUUAGACUUUAUCAGCUAACUGUUUAGUUUUGAGCUUUUCUUUAAUGCACUUUUCAGUUAACAAGUCAACAUCAAUUUCUUUUGCUGUAAAAAAGCUUGAGGAAGGUGGCUUGAGAUUCGUCUUAAGCGUUUAUAGCCUCUUGCCUAUGCAGUCGGAGAGAUUGAGGUCUGCAGCGUAGAUCCUUCGGGGCUAAAUGCAUUUGUGCUAAGUUAUAGCAUUUUAUAGACAACUUGUUGACUAUGAUUUGUCUUGUAGCUUACUCGCUUAUGUUAUUUUACCUACGCUUAGGAUGUUGAUCUCUCACAGUCGAGC
rnacentral:rRNA from 1 species